rnacentral:tRNA from 1 species
ACCGGGGUCGUCCAACCAGCAGGAUGGCGGACUCUGACUCCGCAGAUGCAGGUGCAAAGCCUGCCCCCGGUUC